rnacentral:lncRNA from 1 species
CAAUCAAGUAUUGCCUCCAUCAUUGUGACCAUAGUCAUAAUACUGAAAAUUGUUACCAGAUCAAAGAGAAAAUUGAGCGUUUGAUCCGAGAGGAGAGACUGGAUCGGUUCAUUCGACAAUAAGGUCCUCCAUGCUGAUAUCCUCCAAGGGCCGAACAGCAGCAACAGAGACAUUCCGCACUUCAGCAACGACAGUGCUAGUCCCCUCAACCUCAACCUCAACCAGCACUAGCACAACCAUGGGCAGAGGGGUAGGCGGUAGUAGAAGAUCGAUCCCUAUGGGAUGAAAUUCAUAUGAUAACUGGAGGGUCGUCUG